CCAAUAGCGUAUAUUAAAGUUGUUGCAGUUAAAAAGCUCGUAGUUGAAUUUCGGGAUUAGUACGUUGGUCGUGCCUUGGUACGUACUGGUGUAACUGAUUCCUCCCUUCUGACGAACCGUUAUGCCAUUAAUUUGGUGUGGCGGGAAAUCAGGACUGUUACUUUGAAAAAAUUAGAGUGUUUAAAGCAGGCUCGCGCUUGAAUACAUUAGCAUGGAAGAAUGGAAUAGGACGUUAAUCCUAUUUUGUUGGUUUCUAGGAUCGACGUAAUGAUUAAUAGGGAUAGUUGGGGGCAUUAGUAUUCAAUUGUCAGAGGUGAAAUUCUUGGAUUUAUUGAAGACUAACUACUGCGAAAGCAUUUGCCAAGGAUGUUUUCAUUAAUCAAGAACGAAAGUUAGGGGAUCGAAGACGAUCAGAUACCGUCGUAGUCUUAACCAUAAACUAUGCCGACUAGGGAUCGGAUGAUGUUAAUUUUUUAAUGACUCAUUCGGCGCCUUACG
rnacentral:misc_RNA from 1 species